rnacentral:lncRNA from 1 species
CGCAGCUCUAGGCUGCCCUYGCUCGCGCAGCCGCAGUUCCGCCGGCACUGCGGGGCGUAGAGAGCGUCGCUUAACUGCUGCGGGAUGCUUCUCAGCACUUUUCUGCACCUAGGUGCAUUCCCUUCGGUCGCUCCGAAUGAGUCCACUGUGUACAGAGGCAUCAUGGGAGUUGUCAUUGUCAGGAACAUUCUACACUCCAGGAAUCUUGAGGUGUUCAUUAUUCAUUGUUAAGAAUGUGUCUGGUUGCAAGUAAUAGAAAACUCCAGAAACAGAAAAC